rnacentral:rRNA from 1 species
CCCUUAGAUGUUCUGGGCUGCACGCGCGCUACACUGAAGCGUUCAACGAGUAUUCACCUUGCCCGGGAGGGUUGGGUAAUCUUUUCAAAACGCUUCGUGAUGGGGAUAGAUUAUUGCAAUUAUUAAUCUUCAACGAGGAAUUCCUAGUAAGCGCGAGUCAUCAGCUCGUGCUGAUUACGUCCCUGCCCUUUGUACACACCGCCCGUCGCUCCUACCGAUUGAGCGAUCCGGUGAAUAAUUCGGACUGCAGCAGGCCUGGUCUCCGGGUUUUGCAGCGGAAAGUUUAGUGAACCUUAUCACUUAGAGGAAGGAGAAGUCGUAACA